AGUGAACGCUGGCGGUAGACCUAACACAUGCAAGUCGAACGGCAGCACAGUAAGAGCUUGCUCUUACGGGUGGCGAGUGGCGGACGGGUGAGGAAUACAUCGGAAUCUACUUUUUCGUGGGGGAUAACGUAGGGAAACUUACGCUAAUACCGCAUACGACCUACGGGUGAAAGCAGGGGAUCUUCGGACCUUGCGCGAUUGAAUGAGCCGAUGUCGGAUUAGCUAGUUGGCGGGGUAAAGGCCCACCAAGGCGACGAUCCGUAGCUGGUCUGAGAGGAUGGUCAGCCACACUGGAACUGAGACACGGUCCAGACUCCUACGGGAGGCAGCAGUGGGGAAUAUUGGACAAUGGGCGCGAGCCUGAUCCAGCCAUACCGCGUGGGUGAAGAAGGCCUUCGGGUUGUAAAGCCCUUUUGUUGGGAAAGAAAAGCAGCAGGUUAAUACCCCGCUGUUCUGACGGUACCCAAAGAAUAAGCACCGGCUAACUUCGUG
rnacentral:rRNA from 1 species